GACGAACGCUGGCGGCGUGCUUAACACAUGCAAGUCGAACGGAAAGGCCUGCUUUCCCUUGUGGAUUGCGGGUGCUCGAGUGGCGAACGGGUGAGUAACACGUGAGUGAUCUGCCCCCAACUUGGGUAUAAGCCUGGGAAACUGGGUCUAAUUCCCGAUAGGACUGCAGGGUGGUGCCUGUGGUGGAAAACGAUUUUCUAGUGGUUGGGGAUGAGCUCGCGGCCUAUCAGCUUGUUGGUGGGGGAAUGGCCUACCAAGGCGGCGACGGGUAGCCGGCCUGAGAGGGUGGACGGCCACAUUGGGACUGAGAUACGGCCCAGACUCCUACGGGAGGCAGCAGUGGGGAAUAUUGCACAAUGGGCGGAAGCCUGAUGCAGCGACGCCGCGUGGGGGAUGACGGCCUUCGGGUUGUAAACUCCUUUCGACCGCGAGGAAGCCACCUGGUUGGAAGGGUGGUGACGGUAGUGGUAGAAGAAGCACCGGCUAACUACGUG
rnacentral:rRNA from 1 species